GCUAUUGUGCAACUUACAUGAGCGCAUGGAGACUUGCUGGUUUCGAGAAUUCCUCAGUUAUUGUAAGCUAAAACCAAUCCAUAACAACGGUGAACACGUAUGUGGUUCAGUUUUGUAGCAAUUUGAAUAAUCCUGGUCACAGUGUGCAUUAUUUUCCCAAAGGCCCAAGCCGCAGAGGACAGAGGUGAACAUUUCACCUGAACCUGGACAAGCUUCGACAAGCUUAGCACCCCCCACACAAAGGACCAAAACUGCAAAGAGCGCUUUUGUUAAAAGACAAGUUGCGGAGAUGUUCCAGGAAACAUCUUCAGCUCAAUAGGUUGACAUCAAACCAGCAGAUGUUGAAUCGCUAUCACACAUCUUUCCGACAGCAGAGAGAAUACUGCAACAUGUAUUUCAACCUCAUGUAUUCUCAAAGACCAAAUUAUUUUGUGCUAAUGUUAUGUAACAUAUUUAUACAAAAUAUAAGCAUACAGUUCAAU